UUUCUCAGGGUCCCUUAAAGGUGCCACAAAAAAGAGGAAGCAGUCUAGAAAUGAAGACCACAUUUCCAAAAGCAAUCUACGUCAGAAAAGAUGAUGAUCAUUGAAGAAUAUCCAUAUGGAGUUUGCUUUCUUUAUGACAAAAGUUAGCCAAUGAGCAAGAAAAUUCCUUUGCCUCGACUUCUGACAGUAUGAAUUCCAAAUUGGAUAAGCAGAGCACAAAAGAAAGUGAUUGCCAGACUUUGCCAAGACAAGGCAAUCUUGAAAACGGCAGCUCUACAGUGUGUGAGCCAGGAGUGAGACAUCUUUGGCAUAAGAUAGCAGUGGCAGCAGGAUACAUGCCCACGGAGCUACAAUGUAUCCAGAAGAAUUUUAAAACAAUGUGCUAAUUGGGAUCCUGGCUUAAUUUUGAACAGAGACUGACAGCAUGGCCAUCAUAAUGAAUUAUAGUAACUUGCAUGGAAGCAUUGUGAUAAUGUGGCAAUUAACCAGGCAAAUCAUUCCAUCCAUUUUCACUCAAGACUGCACGUAGCAUUUGAAUGCACUUUCUAGGGGUGAACAAUGAAUCUGUGAGCCCAUUUGUUUCAUACACCAUGUGAGUUCAUCUAUUUUUCC